GACGAACGCUGGCGGCGUGCCUAAUACAUGCAAGUUGAGCGCUGAAGGUUGGUACUUGUACCAACUGGAUGAGCAGCGAACGGGUGAGUAACGCGUGGGGAAUCUGCCUUUGAGCGGGGGACAACAUUUGGAAACGAAUGCCAAUACCGCAUAAAAACUUUAAACACAAGUUUUAAGUUUGAAAGAUGCAAUUGCAUCACUCAAAGAUGAUCCCGCGUUGUAUUAGCUAGUUGGUGAGGUAAAGGCUCACCAAGGCGAUGAUACAUAGCCGACCUGAGAGGGUGAUCGGCCACAUUGGGACUGAGACACGGCCCAAACUCCUACGGGAGGCAGCAGUAGGGAAUCUUCGGCAAUGGACGAAAGUCUGACCGAGCAACGCCGAGUGAGUGAAGAAGGUUUUCGGAUCGUAAAACUCUGUUGGUAGAGAAGAACGUUGGUGAGAGUGGAAAGCUCAUCAAGUGACGGUAACUACCCAGAAAGGGACGGCUAACUACGUG
rnacentral:rRNA from 1 species